CAGUCGCCGCGGGAAUACAGAGGGUGCGAGCGUUAAUCGGAUUUACUGGGCGUAAAGCGUGCGUAGGCGGCUUCUUAAGUCGGAUGUGAAAUCCCUGAGCUUAACUUAGGAAUUGCAUUCGAUACUGGGAAGCUAGAGUAUGGGAGAGGAUGGUAGAAUUCCAGGUGUAGCGGUGAAAUGCGUAGAGAUCUGGAGGAAUACCGAUGGCGAAGGCAGCCAUCUGGCCUUAUACUGACGCUGAGGUACGAAAGCAUGGGGAGCAAACAGGAUUAGAUACCCGUGUAGUCCCUGUCUCUUAUAC
rnacentral:rRNA from 1 species